GGAAGCCAUUAGAGAAGAUCAAGAAAUUUGAAGAAAAAUGGAGAAUGAAGAAGAAGAUGAUUAGAAAAUAUGGAGAAAGAGUUGAGAGUGUUAGAGCAGAGAUUACAAAUAUGUCAACAGGGGAAGAGUGAUUGUGGUCUUGAAGUGUUUGAAACAAAUACUAAUAGGAAUGACAGCAGCUAAGAAGCAAUGAGUUGAGGCUAAGAGUUUGCUAUCUAUAUUAAUCAUCCGUGACACAGUUUGCUAGGAAACUUUUCUCAGCCUGGACUAGGAUAAGAGACCCGUAUGGUGGGUGAAGGCAGGAGGCAUUGGAGGUUUUCUCUUUUCGUGGUGAAUAAAUUGCUGGUGAAGGCAAUAUGUGAUCUCUGAAACACAAAAAAUUGGACAAUUUCUUGGUCGUUUCUUCAUAUAGGAGUUAGCCUUUUCAGGCAACUUUGGGCAACAAGGUUGAACAACAUCAUUUGGUUAUACAAGAAAAAGUUGAUAUUGGAUAAAUGUACCGAUUGAAAGAUUUGCAAGAUAUCCCAAAUCAACCUGUGUAUAUUUUGUGGUUGACUAGUCAAGAAAUAAGUGUUAAGGAGGGGUAGAUGUGAAAGGCUUUCCAUACUUUCGACUGCCCUGGAUGUCCUCCAAAGCACUGUAAGUGGUUGGUUAGCAGGGUGAGACUUGCAUUCUGUAAUUAUCAUGUAUUUACCAGGAGAACUCCGUCGUUCUCUGCCCUGCCCUUAGCUGUCAACUGUCUUUGCUUUUGAUACUUUUAGUCUGAUAUGAAUGUGGAUGGUCGUAAUAGUCUUUGUUCUCUCAUGUGUAUUCGUGAUUUGCCUAUGGAUGUGUUUUGUCACUGAACCAGGGUUAUCUGGAUAUUGACUGCGCAUAGAUUAAGAAUAGACACAACAAUGGAAUCGUCACAGCUGCCAAAAUAAUGGACAAAGCAAUGGAAAUCGCACAUCAUCCUAAAGUGCAUGUGCAAAAAUUUCCUCUCCUCACUACAGUUUCAAAAAACAGUGAGAAAAAUGCCUCUCAGAGAUUUCUGUCUCAUAGUUCCACCCCUUGUAAUCUACUCACUAGAUUUCAAAAUCAACGGCAAGGCUAGUAUAAUGAGGAGGUGG